CGCACACGGAGUAGUCUAGGAAGAGACAUCUUGAUUGAGAGAGAUGGCUUUGAUUACUAUUGUGUAUCACCAUGGGAUCCUUUGUAACGAGUGUGGAUAAUGUUUUUCAUACACUAUGGACCAUAAUUUAGAGAUGUCUCAGCUUGAUCUAGACUUGUUGGAUGAGUUCUUCAUCAGAGACUACUACAAACAUCUUGGGUAUAAUAAGGUAGAACGUUGUUGGUGGUUGGUUUUCAACAGACCAUGGAGACCGGUUUAAGAAAACUCCAUACUGAUGUCAAACUCCUGAAGAUAUGCUUCCAUGCUGAAAGAAAUAAUGGAUUGGUGCAUGUGUACUAUGAGCAUGGAGUCUCUGUACCAGAAUAUUUAGAACAACCACCAUUUAAAAAAGGCAAGAAGGUGGUGAUUGAAGUCAUAACUCAUCCAGUCUAACUGACAAUAGGAUCGAUCUCUAUGGACAUACCUCCUACUCCAAUUCCCAACCCAUCUGUCAAGCAAUCUGAAGCUGUUGAAACUCCAACCCCCUAGGAUUAAUCUCAUCCUCACCCAGAUUCCAACCCCCAUUCCACCCAUCCCAACUAGUAAUCCUAUCUGUACUCCACUUAUCCCAAAUAAUAAUCAUACUCAAGAACCCCUCCAAUAACUGAUUCAAACCCUGUUGCCAAAUCUACUCCAAAACCAAUGAUGAAUUCACAAUUGGUUAAAGUGCCUCCACCGGUGGUUGACAAUGGCUGCAUACAAUUAAACUUGUGCAUUCUAUAUCAAUCCUCUUUUUGGGUAGGCUUAAUAGGAGAAAUCAGUAUACAAUAGACCUUAAGCACCUAAGAUUAGAAAGAUGCCAAGUGCACUACAAAG